UUUGUCUCAUUGAGAAGUAUGAUUUUUGUUUUUUGAAUCACUUGAUUUCUUUGAGUAUUGAAGAAGUUAUGAGCGUUUAAAGUUUACCCAGUUUUCGACGAGUUUUCAAGUUUUCACUCGGACCAGUCAACUUUGAGGCUAUUUUCCGGCCAUCUCCGGCAAUCAUUGGGCUUUGAAAUAGUUAUAAUCUUAUUCUACACUUUCCUAUCUUCAUUUUGAUAUUUCAUGUGUCGAAUGUGGUUAAGAAACGAUUAAGUUACGAAGCUUUGAAAAUUGCCCGAACUUUCGGCCAAGAGCUCCCGAACACUUAACGGAUUUUUAACGAAAUGACCAAAAUGAUGGAUGGUGGACAAUCUUAGGGACCAAAGUGAUGAGUUAUGCAAAUCUCAGGGACCAAG
rnacentral:lncRNA from 1 species